GGGCCGGUGUUUCACUGGAAUGCCGAAGGAAUAGCACCGCACGGACCCCGUCGGACAAUGCUCCGAUAACUCUUAAUCUGCGGGUUGUGGGUUCGAUUCCCACCCGGCUCACCA
rnacentral:tRNA from 1 species